rnacentral:rRNA from 1 species
UAAGGAAUAUUGCUCAAUGGGAGAAAUCCUGAAGCAGCAACGCCGCGUGGAGGAUGAAGGGUCUAUGACUUGUAAACUCCUGUAAAGAAGGAAAAAAUUCCCAUUUGAUGGGAGAUGAUGGUACUUCUGGAGUAAGCCCCGGCUAACUACGUGCCAGCAGCCGCGGUAAUACGUAGGGGGCAAGCGUUGUCCGGAUUUACUGGGUGUAAAGGGUGCUCAGGCGGAUUUGUAAGUCAGAGGUGAAAUCUUACAGCUUAACUGUGAAACUGCCCUUGAUACUGCAAGCCUAGAGUAUGGAAGAGAGUGAUAGAAUAUCUGGUGUAGCAGUGAAAUGCGUAGAUAUCAGAUAGAACACCAAUGGCGAAGGCAGUCACUUGGUCCAUUACUGACGCUAAAGCACGAAAGCGUGGGUAGCAAACA